rnacentral:rRNA from 1 species
GACGAACGCUGGCGGCGUGCUUAACACAUGCAAGUCGAACGGAAAGGCCCUGCUUUUGUGGGGUGCUCGAGUGGCGAACGGGUGAGUAACACGUGAGUAACCUGCCCUUGACUUUGGGAUAACUUCAGGAAACUGGGGCUAAUACCGGAUAGGAGCUCCUGCUGCAUGGUGGGGGUUGGAAAGUUUCGGCGGUUGGGGAUGGACUCGCGGCUUAUCAGCUUGUUGGUGGGGUAGUGGCUUACCAAGGCUUUGACGGGUAGCCGGCCUGAGAGGGUGACCGGCCACAUUGGGACUGAGAUACGGCCCAGACUCCUACGGGAGACAGCAGUGGGGAAUAUUGCACAAUGGGCGGAAGCCUGAUGCAGCAACGCCGCGUGAGGGAUGACGGCCUUCGGGUUGUAAACCGCUUUCGCCUGUGACGAAGCGUGAGUGACGGUAAUGGGUAAAGAAGCACCGGCUAACUACGUG